AAUGUACCGAAGGACAGGAAAAAAAGACUACACCGCUCCACCGCUCCCACCCCCUCGCCGCCGCCGCCGCCGCCGCCGGCAGCUUGCUCCUCCCAGCGGUUCGAAUCGCCGUCUUGGCCGGCCACAGUUCGGGCGAACCAGCUCCCCUUGUCGUCGGCUGCUGCCCCAGCUCCUCCGCCGGCUGAUUAAUCCCCUCUGGUCGCACCUCCGCCGGUCAGUGCUCUUCCGUUCGCCCUUGCUUGCGCGGAAUUCCUGCAGAAACAAGUCCGAAUCUUUGUCGAGUGCCUUCUUGGGCUCGGAUUUGCUUCUCCUACUGGAAUUUGAAGCGUUUGGCCGAACCUCAAGAUAUCUGCAGAGAGACUCUGCGAAAUUUGUCGGUUUGGCCGAAGCUGAAGAUAUCCAAUGGAGUCAUGUAGCGUUGCCAGGAUAACGAGCCUAGGGAAGCUUGCUAUGCACCGGACAUAUUUGUGCACCCUGAUCUUCAGAACUUUGCCAAAGAUGCUAGGCUUCACUUCCAGUUCACUGGAGAGAUUCUGCAAAGCUGAACAUGUUGAGCUACAACUGACCAAGAAGACUACACUGGGCACAUUGCCGGAGCUGCCUCCGGAUGUUUUGAUGGGCAUCUUUGCCACCCUUGAGAUCCCUGACCUCGUGCGUGCCGGCUCUGUCUGCCCAUCCUGGCGCUCCGCAUACACAAGCCUACGGAGCCUUGGGCAGUACAAACUCCAGCAGACGCCAUGUCUCCUCUACACUUCCAAAUCCACUGGUGAGAGUGUCGCAUGCCUCUACAGCCUCGCAGAGAAGCGAUCGUACAAGUUAACCCUCCCGGAGCCGCCUAUCCGUACUAGGUGUUUGAUCGGGUCCUCACAUGGAUGGCUGAUAACUGCUGAUGAGAGAUCUGAGAUGCACCUCGUCAAUCCGGUCACAUGUGAACAGAUUGCUCUCCCUUCAGUGAUCACCAUUGAGCAGGUGAGGCCCAUCUUUGAUGAGCAUGGUGCUGUCCACAAGUAUGAACUCUCAUGGCACACUGGAAUGCACGAUGGUUAUAACUCGCCGACAAUCUUUGCUCUUGACAACCUGCGGCACGAACUCCACUAUAAGGCGUAUGUGUUCUCCGAUGCAUCCACGGAAAGCUUCAUUGUGGUGCUCAUCCACAAUCCAAUGCGUCAGCUCUCUUAUGCAAGGGUAGGGGAUGACAAGUGGACCUGGCUGCCACCUUAUGAUAUCUAUGAUGACUGCACUUACAAGAAUGGCCUAUUGUAUGCAGCGACUGCAACUGGAGAAAUUCAUGCUUUUGAUCUUAGUGGGCCUGUCGCCAGUAUGAAGAUAAUUAUGGGGGCAUCUGAGAAUAUUUCAGCUGGCAGUGCGUACAUUGUUCAAGCUCCCUGGGGUGAUCUGCUGCUUAUUUGGAGAAUCUUCGGCGAUUAUGAUUUAGAACCUGAACCUGGGGCAUCUGUGUUUUGGCAAACAGGCAGAAUUAAUAUGUAUGAAGUUGACUUGGUGGCAAGUAAACUUAAGGCAAUCAAUUCGUUGCGUUCCCAUGUGUUAUUUCUUGGGCAUAAUCAAUCUCUUUGUCUCAAUGCUGAAGAAUAUCCAGCUCUCAAGGCAAAUCAUGUCUACUUUACUGAUGAUAGUUUUUUCUGGACAACGGGAUUGAAGAAUAAUCACCGUGACAUGGGAGUUCUUGAUUUGGAUGAUAAUAGCAGGGAGGAAAUUAUAUCUCCUCAUCUUUGCUCCAACUUUCCGGCUCCUAUGUGGAUUACGGCUGAUCUUAGAAAGAUGAACUUGGCAUCAGUAGGGGCAGCUUGAAUAAGAGUUGAUGGGUUCAAUGAGCUAAUAAUGGGUGGUAUUUGCAAGGUUAUUGCAGAUACAUAGGGACCAAUAGGACUGUGCGCGGCCAUUAUUUGCAAUGAGCUAAUAAUGCCCUUAGUUUGUACACGCGACUAGCUUCGAACCAGUUUACUUUGAAUAAAGAGAUUGCAUUUUCCUUUGUUUACUCAUGUUGUUUACUCAAUGUACCAACUAACUCUCUCCAAUUUUAAUGUGUCAACAGAAACUUGAGGAAUACCAAAUUGCUCUCUCCAAUUUCUUUUUUGAGUAUGUUCGGAACAUAUGGUGUAUGCUCAAAACAUUGCUGGGGCGGAAUCAACAACAAAAUCUUGCUGAAACAGAAGCAUUUUUUAUUUUUGCUGUAACAAAAAAGAUUUUCAUGCAUACAAACAAGGGCAAAGGUCGAUGUAUAAGGAAGAAGAAUUCCCAACAGGAACAAGAAAUAUGGCUAUUCACAGGAGCAACAACAGCAGCAGCAGCACAUCUAUUAACUUGAGAAUCAAAAACCUACAUGGUAGAUCAAGCAUAUUGUUGCCACCAGUCAGGACCUAGCCGGUGGCAAAAGUGCGCGUGCCAGCGGACAUCAUCGCCGGAGCGAAGUUUGG